ACGUUGGAGAGUUUGAUCCUGGCUCAGGACGAACGCUGGCGGCGCGCCUAAUGCAUGCAAGUCGAGCGACGCAUUCCUUAGCCCGUAAGGGCGGGUUUGACGGAGCGGCGAACGGGUGCGUAACACGUGACCAAUCUGCCCCGAAGAACGGGAUAGCCCGGGGAAACCCGGAUUAAUACCGGAUAAUCUCACCACAUCGCAUGUUGUAGUGAGCAAAGGUUCAGGCGCUUCGGGAUGAGGUCGCGGCCUAUCAGCUUGUUGGUGAGGUAACGGCUCACCAAGGCGACGACGGGUAGCUGGUCUGAGAGGACGAUCAGCCACAUUGGAACUGAGAUACGGUCCAGACUCCUACGGGAGGCAGCAGCAGGGAAUCUUGCGCAAUGGGCGAAAGCCUGACGCAGCGACGCCGCGUGGGGGAUGAAGGCCUUAGGGUUGUAAACCCCUUUCACGAGGGAAGAAAAUGACGGUACCUUGAGAAGAAGCCCCGGCCAACUACGUGCCAGCAGCCGCGGUAAUACGUAGGGGGCGAGCGUUGUCCGGAAUUAUUGGGC
rnacentral:rRNA from 1 species